rnacentral:lncRNA from 1 species
AUGGAGCCUGGCGGCGGCGAAAGCAACAGCCCCGGCAGNUUCGACACCGUGAGCGGCGGCGGCCACGCGCCCCGUUAUUCCUCCUUUCCCCGCUAUGGANUUCGGGAAGGGGAGGCCGCCGAAGCUGAUGCCGACGCCCCUCUCGAGCCGCCCCCUCAAUGCUGGAGGAAGGGCCUCUCAGAAAGCGCCCCGCCUCGGGGACCUGUCCGCCGAGCCGUUGUCGUCCCCAGCGCAAAUCUCAAGAAUCUCCUAGAGAGAGAUUUAUCAAAAGAGCGUCAUGAGUUACUAAAGGAUCAAAGACUAUUUCGUAAUCGAGCACGAAAACAUUUUAUAGAAACAAAUAAAAGAAGGAGGUAUGUAAAUAUGUAGGUGAUAUAUUUUCUUUUUAACUGUUUAUUUAAAUCAUCCUGUUUUUCUUUCAGCAGAAUAUUUAACAUGAUGCUCUCCAGAUUUUGCUAGCUCCUAUCAUCCCAUUGGUGUUCACUGGAUCUGACAGGAGUUGUAGUCCAGAAGCACCCUACCUAACUUGCAUAGAAGAUCCAUAUUAGCAGUGGUGCUCAAAUUAAUAAUUAUUUUGUGGCCUUGCAAAUAAUAGUAGCAUCCCAUGAACACAGAAUUAUUUUCAACGUUUAGGACAGUCAGUGUGUCUAAUAGUGAUCAAGCAUAGCUCUUAUGAUGAGUGACCUUUUGAACUAAAUACUAAGCAAAAUCAUAGCUACAAGGGAAGGUGUCUUGUUACGCUACAGCAUUACACUUUUAUAAUCUGGAAAUGUAUAGAGUUCAAUAGUUUGCACACCUUGAAAUGUUAUACAUCAAUGUAACAGUAGAUUCUUUGAGUCACUGUCUGCGAUCAGUGCAAGACUGUUCAUAGUUUCUCUUUUGAUAUAUUGCAAUAAUCUCCAAAGCACAUUUAUACAUCAGUUAAAAUAAAAGUUGAAUCACCUAUCA